rnacentral:lncRNA from 1 species
AAAGUUCAUGUCAUGCUUUAGGGACUUUAGAAGAUAUCUAAUAAUAUGUGGCACCUAUUUCUCAGACAUUGUGCUAAGUGAUGUUCUAAAAUAUUAUUUGCAAUUCAGUCUCACUUCCCUGCCUUUCCAAGUCUCUGUUCACUCCCCUCUUUACUCCCACAUACUCCCUUUAAAACUCCCAGGCACCUCUGUACAAAUUGAACGUGAGUUCAGUUUACACUGAGUAUACUCAUAAGAGUAUAUUCCCGAUUAAAAUCUGUCCUUACCAUUUUACUUAGUGUCCAGCUUGGUUUAUCUUCGUCAGCUCCACUAUCAUGCCCUUUUUUUGGUUAUUAUUUUGUACAUCUGUUGACAAAUUAAGUAACAAUGGGUUUAGGGACCAUUUCUUAUUUUUCUGGACCUCCCUUGCUUCUAAUGCAGUUGUCAACGAAUGGUAUAAUCUAAAGGCAUAAUUUUUGCAUAAAAAUUAAACCAAUCAAUUGAAAAAUAAAUUGAGGCAGAAAGGAUUCAACAACCAAAAUAUUCAUACAACAGAGUAUUGCUAAAUUGUUAUAAAUAAUACACAUUUAUAUUCAUUUAUUUUGAUUUAAUAGAACUCCAUGGAUCUUAUAAUACUUUUCUUCAUCUUUUAUAUAACUUUUUGCAUUAUUGUUAUGUUUCUUUAGUCAUUUAAUAAAUUAAUCGGUGUGUAAUAAACAUUCUACUUCUUCUAUCAGAGAGAUAGAAGAUAAAUUAUGUCCUUAAUUUUAAGGAGUUGGGCAAAGAGAUUAUACCUUCCUCCUCCAACAAUCUCAAGAUGAAUUCAAGGCGAUUUAAAACCAAGGCUUUUAGUAUUCAUAUGCAUU